CAGUCGCCGCGGGAACACAGAGGGUGCGAGCGUUAAUCGGAUUUACUGGGCGUAAAGCGUGCGUAGGCGGCUUCUUAAGUCGGAUGUGAAAUCCCUGAGCUUAACUUAGGAAUUGCAUUCGAUACUGGGAAGCUAGAGUAUGGGAGAGGAUGGUAGAAUUCCAGGUGUAGCGGUGAAAUGCGUAGAGAUCUGGAGGAAUACCGAUGGCGAAGGCAGCCAUCUGGCCUAAUACUGACGCUGAGGUACGAAAGCAUGGGGAGCAAACAGGAUUAGAUACCCGCGUAGUCCCUGUCUCUUAUAC
rnacentral:rRNA from 1 species